ACAGCCAUAUCACAUUUAAAACUCUGGUUCCCAUCCAAUCACCAAAGUUGAGCAAUGUAAAGCCUGGUCAGUACCUAUAUGGGUGACCGCUUGUGAAUACCUAUUGCUGUAA